GGCGGAGCCGGUGCAUGCUCUGGGCGCAGUAACUAACUUACCCGCCUCUGUAGCUGCACCUAGCUUCCUGCCGUUAAACCCUAUAAACUUUAAUGGUUGACCUCGGAUUAGGUAGGAAUACCCGCUGAACUUAAGCAUAU
rnacentral:rRNA from 1 species